UACGUAGGGUGCAAGCGUUGUCCGGAAUUAUUUGGGCGUAAAGAGCUCGUAGGCGGUUUGUCGCGUCUGCUGUGAAAAUCCAGGGCUUAACCCUGGACCUGCAGUGGGUACGGGCGAGACUAGAGUGCGGUAGGGGAGAUCGGAAUCCUGGUGUAGCGGUGAAAUGCGCAGAUAUCAGGAGGAACACCGGUGCGAAGGCGGGCUCUGGGCCGUAAGCUGGCGCUGAGGAGCGAAAGCGUGGGGAGCGAACA
rnacentral:rRNA from 1 species